rnacentral:rRNA from 1 species
AGCAGCCGCGGUAAUUCCAGCUCCAAUAGCGUAUAUUAAAGUUGUUGCAGUUAAAAAGCUCGUAGUUGAAUUUCGGGAUCAUCAGGUUGGUCGUGCCUCUGGUAUGUACUGAUUUCGAUGGUCCCUCCUUCUUGAAGAGCCGUAAUGCCAUUAAUUUGGUGUUGCGGGGAAUCAGGACUGUUACUUUGAAAAAUUAGAGUGUUUAAAGCAGGCAAUCGCUUGAAUACAUUAGCAUGGAAUAAUGAAAUAGGACGUUCGAUCCUAUUUUGUUGGUUUCUAGGAUUGACGUAAUGAUUAAUAGGGAUAGUUGGGGGCAUUAGUAUUCAAUUGUCAGAGGUGAAAUUCUUGGAUUUAUUGAAGACUAACUACUGCGAAAGCAUUUGCCAAGGAUGUUUUCAUUAAUCAAGAACGAAAGUUAGGGGAUCGAAGACGAUCAGAUACCGUCGUAGUCUUAACCAUAAACU